UACGAAGGGUGCAAGCGUUAAUCGGAAUUACUGGGCGUAAAGCGUGCGUAGGCGGUUGGCUAAGUCAGAUGUGAAAGCCCUGGGCUCAACCUGGGAAUGGCAUUUGAAACUGGCCGGCUAGAGUGUGAUAGAGGAUGGCGGAAUUCCCGGUGUAGCGGUGAAAUGCGUAGAGAUCGGGAGGAACAUCCGUGGCGAAGGCGGCCAUCUGGAUCAACACUGACGCUGAGGCACGAAAGCGUGGGGAGCAAAC
rnacentral:rRNA from 1 species